rnacentral:tRNA from 1 species
CCAUUGCUCAGUUGGUAAAGCUCAAGGCUCUUAACCUUAUGGUCGUGGGUUCGAGCCCCACGGUGGG